UCGGGAUNCCCUUGUAUGUCCCUGAGAUGC
rnacentral:piRNA from 1 species